AUUGAACGCUGGCGGCAGGCCUAACACAUGCAAGUCGAACGAGUGGCGGACGGGUGAGUAAUGUCUUGGAAACUGCCCGAUGGAGGGGGAUAACUACUGGAACCGGUAGCUACUACCGCAUACAAUCCGAUGUGCCCAGAUGGGAUUAGCUAGUAGGUGGGGUAACGGCUAACGUAGGCGACGAUCCCUAGCUGGGCUGAGAGGAUGACCAGCCACACGGGAACUGAGACACGGGCCAGACUCCGACGGGAGGCAGCAGUGGGGAAUAUUGCACAAUGGGCGCAAGCCUGAUGGAGCCAUGCCGCGUGUAUGAAGAAGGUCUUCGGGUUGUAAAGUACUUUCAGCGAGGAGGCGUUACUCGCAGAAGAAGCACCGGCUAACUCCGUGCCAGCAGCCGCGGUAAUAC
rnacentral:rRNA from 1 species